rnacentral:rRNA from 1 species
AUUGAACGCUGGCGGCAUGCUUUACACAUGCAAGUCGAACGGUAACAGGCCGCAAGGUGCUGACGAGUGGCGAACGGGUGAGUAAUGCAUCGGAACGUGCCCAGUCGUGGGGGAUAACUGCUCGAAAGAGCAGCUAAUACCGCAUACGAUCUAUGGAUGAAAGCGGGGGACCGUAAGGCCUCGCGCGAUUGGAGGGGCCGAUGUCAGAUUAGGUAGUUGGUGGGGUAGAGGCUCGCCAAGCCAACGAUCUGUUGCUUGUCUGAGAGGACGACCAGCCACACAGGGACUGAGAAACGGCCCAGACUCCUACGGGAGGCAGCAGUGGGGAAUUUUGGACAAUGGGGGCAACCCUGAUCCAGCAAUGCCGCGUGCAGGAAGAAGGCCUUCGGGUUGUAAACUGCUUUGGUACGGAACGAAACGGUCUGGGUUAAUACCCUGGGCUAAUGACGGUACCGUAAGAAUAAGCACCGGCUAACUACGUGCCAGCCGCCGCUGUAACAC